rnacentral:lncRNA from 1 species
CAAAAUACAAAUCAAACCGAUUAACAUAUUUUAUUUAUUUAUUGCAUACCGGUGAAAUACGUCGAUGUGUUAAUUGACAACAUAGACAAGUUUCGUAUAUUUUUCUUGUUGUGGAGGAAUUUCAAAACACAUUCCUUUAUUGUUCAGUUUCAACGCUUAUAAAACUGUCAAACAUUAUGAUAAAAACAAACAGUUAUCGACCCACUUCUAAACUUACGAUUUCUGGCAUAUUAUACAAUUAUCUUUAAGAUAUAUUUGGGGAAUGAGUGUGAUAUUUUUUUUCUAUUUACGAAGAAAUAACAUAAAUAAAAUUUUGCACACUGAAUAGCACUGAAUUAUUUAAUUGUAUACCAUAUUGUUAAUAUCAUUAUGAAUAGACAGCUAACAAAUAAUAAAAUCAUUUCAUACAAUUUAACUUUAAGUGCUCCACUUAUAUUUAAUGCGUUUCCCUCAGUUUUAGUUUGUCACCCCGAUUAUGUUUUUUGUCCAUGGAUUUAUGAGUUUUGAACAGCGGUAUACUACUGUUGCCUUUAUUCAAGUUCCAUUUUUAAGGAAAAGAUCAUAAAAAACGUGUUGAUGACGUCACAGUUACAUCACUAUUUUAAGUCUUUGGACUGAUUAAAAAAAAAACAAUUCAAGCAAUUAGAAGACGUGUUACAUACAAAAAUUAGUUAUAUUUAAAUGCAUUAGAAAAAAAAGAUUUACUCAGAAAUCGUUCUUAUGUUGUACUGAUAUACCACUGUCCCAGGUUAGGGGGAAGGUUGGGAUCCCGCUAACAUGUUUAACCCCGCCACAUUAUUUAUGUAUGUGCCUGUUUCAAGUCAGGAGCCUGUAUAUUCAGUGGUUGUCGUUUGGUUAUGUGUUACAUAUUUGUUUUUCGUUCAUUUUUUUUACAUAAAUAAGGCCGUUAGUUUUCUCGUUUGAAUUGUUUUACAUUGUCUUGUCGGGGCCUUUUAUAGCUGACUAUGCGGUAUGGGCUUUGCUCAUUGUUGAAGGCCGUACGGUGACCUAUAGUUGUUAAUGUCUGUGUCAUUUUGGUCUUUUGUGGAUAGUUGUCUCAUUGGCAAUCAUACCACAUCUUCUUUAUUAUAAAUUGAAAUUUUCGUCAGAAGUGUCCAAUUAAUUUGUAACAAAAUAUUACUCUGUUGAUGGAAAUCGGUAACUUUCAAACCAUGUAAAGAAAUUGGGAAAAAUAUUGGUUUAAACGUAUCUUUUUUUAC